AAUACGGCAUAAUGCAUCGACGGGACAUCCUGUUGGUGCCAAAGGUUGAUUCCGGUGGCGGAUGGGCAUGCGUCGCAUUAGUUAGUUGGCGGUGUAACGGACCACCAAGACGACGAUGCGUAGGGGUUCUGAGAGGAAGGUCCCCCACACUGGUACUGAGACACGGACCAGACUCCUACGGGAGGCAGCAGUGAGGAAUAUUGGUCAAUGGGCGGGAGCCUGAACCAGCCAAGUCGCGUGAGGGAUGACGGCCCUAUGGGUUGUAAACCUCUUUUGCCGGGGAGCAAAGUGCCGCACGUGUGCGGUUUGGAGAGUACCCGGAGAAAAAGCAUCGGCUAACUCCGUGCCAGCAGCCGCGGUAAUACGGAGGAUGCGAGCGUUAUCCGGAUUUAUUGGGUUUAAAGGGUGCGUAGGCGGACGCUUAAGUCAGCGGUAAAAUUGCGGGGCUCAACCUCGUCGAGCCGUUGAAACUGGGUGCCUUGAGUGGGCGAGAAGUACGCGGAAUGCGUGGUGUAGCGGUGAAAUGCAUAGAUAUCACGCAGAACUCCGAUUGCGAAGGCAGCGUACCGGCGCCCAACUGACGCUGAAGCACGAAGGCGUGGGUAUCGAACAGGAUUAGAUACCCUGGUAGUCCACGCAGUAAACGAUGAAUGCUAGUUGUCCGGGGCGAUUGAGUUCUGGGUGACACAGC
rnacentral:rRNA from 1 species